GAUCAUGGCUCAGGAUGAACGCUAGCUACAGGCUUAACACAUGCAAGUCGAGGGGGAAACGACAUCGAAAGCUUGCUUUUGAUGGGCGUCGACCGGCGUACUGGUGAGUAACGCGUAUCCAACCUGCCCACCACUUGGGGAUAACCUUGCGAAAGUAAGACUAAUACCCAAUGAUAUCUCUAGAAGACAUCUGAAGGGAUAAAGAUUUAUCGGUGAUGGAUGGGGAUGCGU
rnacentral:rRNA from 1 species